UACAGAGGUCCCAAGCGUUGUUCGGAUUCAUUGGGCGUAAAGGGUGCGUAGGCGGCGCGGUAAGUCGGGUGUGAAAUCUCGGAGCUUAACUCCGAAACUGCAUUCGAUACUGCCGUGCUUGAGGACUGGAGAGGAGACUGGAAUUUACGGUGUAGCGGUGAAAUGCGUAGAUAUCGUAAGGAAGACCAGUGGCGAAAAGCGGCUUCCUGGUCCAGCACCGACGUUCAGGCACGAAAGCGUGGGGAGCAAACAGGA
rnacentral:rRNA from 1 species